UACCCUUGACAUGUCUGGAAGCCCGGUGAGAGCUGGGUGUGCCUGAAAGGGAACCGGAACACAGGUGCUGCAUGGCUGUCGUCAGCUCGUGUCGUGAGAUGUUGGGUUAAGUCCCGCAACGAGCGCAACCCUUGUCCCUAGUUGCUACGCAAGGGCACUCUAGGGAGACUGCCGGUGACAAACCGGAGGAAGGUGGGGAUGACGUUUCUAGGAGGGUG
rnacentral:misc_RNA from 1 species